CGCCAGGGCGCCGCCUUUGGUACCUGGAGCUCCGGGGGCGGUGCCCCAGGGCGGCUUUGCAUCGGAAACCGUGUCUGAACAUCUCACAUGUAUGCACGCCAGCCUCUUAAAGAUAUCCGGAGAUGUGAAUGGGAGCUUUCUCAGACAGACAGUGUUUGAAUAAUCCAUUUAUGGGGCCAUCAGGGCCUCAUGGAGUUUAGGAGUGUGGGCCAUCACCUUGCAAAACGGGCAACUUCUCAAACAGCGACCGCUGACUGCCGGGGUUUACCAGCAGAGGCUUGAGAACUUCAGUUAUCAGGAAAUUUCCUACAUCUCCAAGCUACUUGUAUCAUCUUCAGCUCCAUAUCUUCACUUGGUCUCCAUCGUCUUCAGCCCAACUGAUAGAGGAGGAAGGUGAAGUGAUGAAAGUCAACAUCUACCCAGGGACCUCUUGUGGUUUAGUCAAUUAAUUGCCAGUCCUUUGGGGAGAAGGGAGUGGACAAAGAGUGAAGAGCAAAGGAAGAGACAAGAAAAAAAGAAAUCAACUAAUCUCCCAAACCUGUCAGGAUUCCUCUCAACUUUUCCUAUGAAGACGUCCCCUGUGGCCCAUUUAGAGCCAUUUACCAAAACAUUUUCAGAUUUCUUUGAUUUUAACAUCUGCUUUCCUCUUUCCUCCCUGCAUAGUCCUGUGCUUCCUGGAUACAUGACAGUCAGCCUUUGAUCUCGGUGCCUCUGGUUAGCUGCAUGCUCU
rnacentral:lncRNA from 9 species